AGCUGGAGAGCAGCUGGUCGGCCGAGGAGACGGACGGCGGUUACAGCUGCGGGGACAGGGGGUCGGUGGUGGUGACCGCGAGAGGUCACUUUAAGAGCUUCCUGUGCACCGCAAUCCGCCUCACCGUGCUCGUGCUCUUCGUCACGAGGAGACACUUGUAGGGCGCGAAGCGGCAACAGCAGCAACAGAUGGUGCCUUUAGGACCGUGUGUGAAGAAAAGAGACGGGCUCACAUCAUUUGCACUAAAAAGCAGUGGAUGCAGGAGAGUCGGAUGAUGCGGAUAAAUUGUGCAACGACCGAAGGAAGAGAAGAAGGAAGAGGGGUUAAAUGUGUUUUUUCCCGGUCGGAACUGUUUGUCUGACUAACUCCAUGUGUCACAAAGACUUACUAAGGCCCAAAUGUGGAUGCACUACCGAGUCUCCAAACGAGCUGACACACUGAAACCCAGCAGCCCGUUCUGCCCCUGCGUGACUCUCUGAUUCUGUCAUGCCACUAACAAAACGGUGAUGUAAUCCUCCCCUGAUACAGUGGAGGGAAAAGCUUACUAAUAGGACUCAUUUGAAUCCUCACCUCCCACGGAAUGAACGCAUCACUGACAAAGGGGUUAAACUGAUCAAACCUUCAAAUCAAAUGUAUCUAGGCUGUAAUUUGUGCAGCAAUCUUGAGAUAUACCGGUUUGGGGUUUCAUAAUGCACUGUACUUUUUUUUACAUAAGCUAUACUGUAACUGUAAUGUACAUAAUCAGAGGAUGAAUGUUUUUAUAGAUGUUUUUUUUUUUACAGUGUUUAGAUGAUGUUUACACACUUCCCUGUGCUUUGGCGUUAUCUGUUCGGGCAGUGUUAAGUGGCUUUCAUCAUAAACAAGAUAAAGGACCUGUGCAUAGGAAGCUAUGCUGUUAUGCUGUCUGUGACUUCUGGAAAUAAGCUUUCUCUGAUAUUGUGUACUGUGAGCGGAAAUACUGAGACUGUCUUUUAUAAUAUGUGUUUUAUUUAUACUUCAAUAUUUCAUAUGGAUUUUUAGAGGUAAAAAAGAAUGAAAAGCUUUUUCUGAAAUAAAGACAAACUGCUUGAUAAAGUAAGCUAAAGUGCUUUAAUUUGAAACGGAAAAAUUUCUGCUCUGCACUGUGCAUUUUGCAUGAAAGUCAUACUGUCUAUUAUGCAACUCAAGAAUUAAUUACUUAUAUAAACAAUAUUCACAAGGAAUGACAAUGAAAUCAAAUUUGCAACAUGGAUUAUCAGAUUUGAGCUCCUGCCAUUCAUGAUCCACACCACAGUUACUGUCCACAUGAUACAAAUCCAUAAAAUGUUACUCCCUGGAGCCAGAAACACUUGUUUUAUGUACUGUUUACAUUCUAAAGAAAUUAAAUU